rnacentral:rRNA from 1 species
UGGUGGGUUGCCUUGUCAGGUUGAUUCCGGUAACGAACGAGACCUCAGCCUGCUAAAUAGUCAGCAUCGCCCUGGCGGUGCGCGGACUUCUUAGAGGGACUAUUGGCGUUUAGCCAAUGGAAGUAUGAGGCGAUAACA